UUCAAUGCUGUUUUUGAAUAACUGGAGGGUUAGUGUCGUACCUUGCUAUGUGUCUAGACUCACCCUCCAGCUAUUCAAAAACAGCAUUG
rnacentral:miRNA from 1 species